AAAUUGAAGAGUUUGAUCAUGGCUCAGAUUGAACGCUGGCGGCAGGCCUAACACAUGCAAGUCGAACGGUAACAGGAAGUAGCUUGCUGCUUUGCUGACGAGUGGCGGACGGGUGAGUAAUGUCUGGGAAACUGCCUGAUGGAGGGGGAUAACUACUGGAAACGGUGGCUAAUACCGCAUAACGUCGCAAGACCAAAGAGGGGGACCUUCGGGCCUCUUGCCAUCAGAUGUGCCCAGAUGGGAUUAGCUUGUUGGUGAGGUAACGGCUCACCAAGGCGACGAUCCCUAGCUGGUCUGAGAGGAUGACCAGCCACACUGGAACUGAGACACGGUCCAGACUCCUACGGGAGGCAGCAGUGGGGAAUAUUGCACAAUGGGCGCAAGCCUGAUGCAGCCAUGCCGCGUGUAUGAAGAAGGCCUUCGGGUUGUAAAGUACUUUCAGCGGGGAGGAAGGUGUUGUGGUUAAUAACC
rnacentral:rRNA from 1 species